rnacentral:ncRNA from 1 species
GCUCAUCAAGAGUGGCGGAGGGAAUGGCCCAAUGAACCCACAGCAACCAUGGCGUAAGCCAACGGUGCUAAAUCCUACAAUGCGGUUUUUCGAUUGUGAGAUGAGA